rnacentral:lncRNA from 1 species
UGGUGGGAUGGUGAGAUUCGAGGUGAUCGAAAAGCUUGGUCCUGAUGUUAAGUGUAAGUGUACUGAUCCUGGUUUGUUGCUGCCUCGGGCUAAUUUGACUUUCUGGAGGGACGGGAGUUUAGUGCGAGAACGUAAUGCCAUGCUUCCCACCAUUUCGUCGAAGGUUUGCUCAUUCUUUACCUUCUUUUACAUAAGCAAAACAUCGAGGGACUUAUCGUUUGAUGUAUGUACUGAAUUUCUAAAUGUUAAGCGUUGCAUGUCACUUACAUAGUGAGUAAAAUGCAUAAUGAUGCCCUCACGAGCCUUCUGUAUGUUCCAACUUCCAACUUCCGAGCACAUAUACUUCUCUAGCUAUAAACUAUAUUGAUAUGAUAACCAAGAUGACCAUUUUGACUGACCUGUAAUCCUGUAUGGGAAUCCGCAGGGGCUGCAUUAUACUCUUUACAUUGUUUUUCGAACCCUAUUAGCAAGGCUUUCUAAUGUUCAAGCCGAAUAUAGAUACAUUUGGUGUGUCCUUUUGGAAUUAUCAAAUUGUUCAAAUUUAAUUUUCGAAAUGUAGAUGCAUCUUACAUCUAGUGAUUGUUCUGUUGCACAUGCCGUUGUUUCAAUUGGCAAAGCUUGUUCAAAACUAGUUAAAUUAUUUAAUCCCAUUACUUUGAAAAAGGAGAAUAAGUUUUGAAAGUUUGAGCUAAGAGUCCAAGACAACUCUUUUAGAUCAUCUUUUGUUCAACUUUCCCAUAUGUUAAUUUUCAUUUUUAAAAUAACUUUUGUUUCUGACGAUUCUAAAAAGAAAAAUAAAAAUACUUUUUUUUUUUCCGGGUAAGCAUGGCUUUAUCAUAUUAGUCCUCUUUGAUAACUGUAUUAUUGAUUGAUAAGCAUGGAGCUUUGGUUUCCGACUCCAGAGCGUUAGUGUCUUCUGAUACGAAGCAUCCUUGCCUACAGAUUUAGUAUCACCGAGAUGGAUCCUGUCUUGAGCAAGAUUACAAAAAGGAAACCCAAAUUUUCAAGUUAUGCAUAAUUAUUAAUUCUUGUCACGAUCUCAACUUGGUCAUAAAGUGAAGUUUAUUCUCCAUUAACCCUGUCUGGACUCUGGAGUGUGGUCUGGUCUAACUUCGAGUCUUAAAACCAUAUCAUGAAUUGGCAAUUGGAACUUUAAAAAGUGUCAUUUGUGCUUGUAUAUGCUAGCAGUGACAUGCAUUUGUGAUUGUUAUUCAUUUCUUAUGAUCUUGCUAAAAUCUACUUGUGUAUUUCCACAUAAUAACAUUGGUAAGUUCUUAAACUUAUCUUUUGGUCUCACACUCUGAGUUUUCAAUAUAUUCAGGAUUGGUUGGACAUUGAUUUUGGGAUUGCAGAGGGUGUUGAUUUUAUCGCUGUAUCUUUUGUCAAAUCUGCGGAAGUGAUAAAUCAUCUUAAAAGCUAUAUUGCUGCACGGUCUCGAGAUAGGUAAAGUACUUAAGUAUUAAAUACGUAUAUUACAUGCAUACCAUACAUAUUAUAUUUCUUGGUCAUAUGUUAUCGCACGAUAAUGAAGCCUCCUUUCAGUUGUUCCUGCUAAGAAUUAACUGCUCCUGUAGAUUCUUUCAUUGUUAAGAGAUUUGAUAUUUUAUUGCACCUCCUAUCUGCAUUCUGUAAUGCUUGUGGUCGGUGAAAUUUCUCUUAUAUGUUGUUUUUGCAAUCAUUUUGAUUCAAUACUUAAAGGUUAAACACCUAUUUGCCACUUGAAUGGAUAUACAGAAACUAAUAUCAUUCCUACUGAUUAUUUUUAUUGUACUUUGGGACUUGUUUUUAUAAUCAAGAUGCUUAACUUGUGUUGAUCCUUUAAGCUGAUUUUUCUAUUCAUUUGGUGCAGCGACAUUGCUGUCAUUGCAAAGAUAGAGAGCAUUGACUCUCUAAAGAACCUGGAAGAGAUCAUCCGAGCAUCAGAUGGAGCAAUGGUAGCAAGAGGGGAUCUAGGUGCUCAGAUACCACUGGAACAGGUCCCAGCAGCCCAGCAAAAGAUUGUUCAAGUUUGUCGGCAGCUAAAUAAGCCAGUCAUUGUGGCUUCUCAAUUACUUGAAUCUAUGAUUGAAUAUCCUACACCCACUAGAGCCGAAGUGGCUGAUGUUUCUGAAGCAGUGAGACAGCGCGCUGAUGCUUUGAUGCUUUCUGGUGAGUCGGCUAUGGGCCAGUUCCCUGAAAAGUCAUUGGCUGUUCUCAGAAGUGUUAGUCUGAGAAUUGAAAGAUGGUGGAGGGAAGAGAAACGUCAUGAAGCUAUGGAACUACCAGCUAUUGGAUCUUCAUUUUCAGACAGUAUCUCAGAGCAGAUUUGCAUUUGUGCUGCCAAGAUGGGUAAGUAUUCACUAAAUACGUUUCUGAGUGAGCUAAGUUCAGCAGUUAUCUGUUUGUUUGCAUAUUUAAUAGUACUAUAGUUAGGGAACUCCCUGGGUUGGUCGUAUCUGUCAAUAUAAACUACUUAUGAUAGAUCUACACUGAGAGUCUCGAUGUAAAAAGCUCCUCUAUUCUCUUCGGGUGUAUAUAUGCUCAGGAUUUCCAUCUAGUGUAAUAUAAAUCGCAUCUUUCACAAUAAGUAAUAACAAAAAUAAAAUUCUCACCCAUACCAAACACGCACACCCACAUGAAAGUAAUGUUGAGGUAAUCAUAUGUGAUUUAUACAUUCUGGUAGCCACAUUACAUCUGGAUUAGUUUUUCCAAGGUGUUUUCCUUUUUCGUAUUGUGUAAAAUGCACUUCCUUGUUGUACAGAAGCUGAACCAAUAUAUCCAAAUGACAAAAAAAUGAUUUUUUUUUCUCUUACAAGUUUUAUUUUAGAUAGCAUUUCGGUUACAACUAUUUAAUACAUUCUUGUAUGUGAUCAUUUAUUCUCACCCUUCUCGUAAGAUGGCUAAUGAAGUUCAAAAGAAUGAAUAUAUUAGUGUUGAGCCUAUUGACCCUUUCUGUUGAAUUAUAUUCUUGUUCUAGUCAUUGCUUUUGCUGCAUAUGGAACAAUAUCUUGAUGUGAAUUGCGAUUUUGCAGCCAAUAAUUUGGAGGUAGAUGCUCUUUUUGUCUAUACAAAGACAGGCCACAUGGCAUCUCUCUUGUCUCGCUGCCGGCCAGACUGCCCAAUCUUUGCUUUUACUAACACGACAUCUGUACGGAGACGCCUAAACCUACAGUGGGGGCUGAUACCAUUUAGGGUGAGCUUCUCGGAUGACAUGGAGAGCAACCUUAACAAAACCUUGUCACUGCUCAAGGCCAGGAAUUUGAUCAAAUCAGGCGACCUUGUUAUUGCUGUCUCAGACAUCUUGCAGUGCAUCCAAGUUAUGAAUGUUCCUUGAAAAGUGGAUUUCGUUUAGCUUGGAAGCAUUUUCUCGAUCCUUCAUUGCUACUGGUUGAAAGAAAAAGGGGGCAAUCUGGAGGUGAUUCAGCUUUCCCCUAAUGAUCUUCCCGGGCUCUCCUUCAAGAUCCAUCGUAAAGUUGAGACUUGAGAGGGUUUCUUUCUGCCACUUGAGCUGCCUGGUAUUUUUCAUGAUAAUACCUUGUGAAAUUAAUUUGCUUAGUUAAUUUUAGUUAAUUAAGUUGAGACAUAAUUUUUAUGUGCAUUGUUUUGGUGUGUGUUAAAAUUGGAUCAAGCAUGAUCAACAAUAACCAUUUUCAAGCUACUGUUUAAUGUCACCCAAUGUUUUGUGAAA